AAAUUAUCAGAGAAAAGAUAUUCAUGCAGUAUCGGAACGAGGUUCCUUAUGCAUGCCAGGUAAAUAUGGUGAACUACAAAACAAGGCCAAAUGCAAAAGAUUUCAUACAAGUAGAAAUUGUUGUUGAGAAAGACUCCCAGAAAAUCAUCCUCAUUGGAAAAGGAGGGAAAGCUCU